UUUCAGAUUCACAUUUUAGACAGACUUAUCAGCGCUGCUUAGGAACAAUUUCUUUUGGUCUGUUUGUAGUGGCCUGUGCUGAAGUGUCUGCCCUUGCUGUGCAUCUCACUCCAGGACCUCCUGAAGAGCGCUGAUCCUGCAUUGUACACGUGGUUCUUCUCCUGUGCCUCCCCACUUGUCAGAUAAUUUCUUGAGGACAUGGAUGACUCUCUGGCACCGACAGUUCCAGGCCUGUUCCCAAAGCAACAUUCCAUGUGCUCUGAUGGACAAGAUGAUGUCCCCACUGGAGUGGUGACUUUGAAGAAGGCAACCUCGACACUGAAGUAUAAAUUCUGGAAUACAUGUUUUUUUAUUUUUAAGAAAGUUAGUUGUGAAAAGGAGGUGGACUUUGCUGAGUGGAGAGCCUAUCUAGGAAGCCCAGAUGCCUAGCAGAUGAGGGAUUUGUAGACCCCGUCUUUUUCUGGAGCUUUGGGCAAGAAGGUCUAUUCCUAAGGCAACAUUAGCAUUGCACCCACUUAUUGGCCUCAGUGUAACCAACAACGUGUAUCAUUGCCUCUGCCCCUGCUGAUAAGUCUCUCUCACAAGCGUCUUUCCAAUACUCUAUUUUAGACUAUGUUUAUCCUUAUGACAAAAUGCAUAUCUCAUUAUUAAUUGAGGUUCAGAGAGGAUGAGCAGCUGUUGUUUCUCAGUUUGCUUUACAAAACUUCAAAAGCCUCCAUUAAACUCCCUGUACAAAAGUGUUCAAGGGGCCAUGGCUCUCAUGUCACUUAGCCCCAUUUCCCCUAAAGGCUUUGUUUAUGUAGAAACUGGAGAAAAAGGGAGAGCAGCUAAAAGGAAGGCAAAAUCUGAGAAACCAGACACCGAUGCUGUGAGCAGAAGCUAACAGAACCAUGGAAUGGCACCUUCCACCCUUUAACUGAAGCCUGGGUGCCAUUGAAAACCUAGAGAGGACUUGCAACAAACUGGUGGGCCUGGGGGGUGGGAGAAGAUAGAAUGUGGCCCAAACCCCAAACUUCCCGGGAAAAUUAUCUUGGACCUUUUCAAAACAAGUUCUCCUUCUUGGAAAGCGGCUCGCAUUAAAUCAGAGCCAUGGGCAUGAACUGCGGGAAUGGCUUCUCUACUAAGCUGUGUACAAAUACGUGACCAAGUUAACUUCAGCUGAGGCCAGCUUGAGAAGCAGAUCACAUUAUAGCAGGCUCCAGGCUGCUCACUCUGAAAGACUCAGGAAAACGCUGUGGAGUUAGUCUGUUGCACAAAUGUGAAGAAGGUGAGAUUGGUCUUUCCUUCCUCUCCCAUUUCUGGCAUUUUUCCUGUUUUUAACCAGCUUGCCUGCUCACUCUUCUGAAUUUCUUCCAUCAUAGGUUUGACCAGCUUCUUGAAAAUCAAACUGUCUUUUGGUCCUUGCACCUGGUAGGCACUUGGUAAAUAUUGGUUGAGUGAAUAAACAAUUUUCCACUGAGAAUCUGAUGA